rnacentral:rRNA from 1 species
UACGUAGGGGGCAAGCGUUAUCCGGAAUUAUUGGGCGUAAAGCGCGCGCAGGCGGUUUCUUAAGUCUGAUGUGAAAGCCCACGGCUCAACCGUGGAGGGGCAUUGGAAACUGGGGAACUUGAGUGCAGAAGAGAAAAGCGGAAUUCCACGUGUAGCGGUGAAAUGCGUAGAGAUGUGGAGGAACACCAGUGGCGAAGGCGGCUUUUUGGUCUGUAACUGACGCUGAGGCGCGAAAGCGUGGGGAGCAAACAGG